rnacentral:rRNA from 1 species
UACGUAGGGGGCAAGCGUUGUCCGGAUUUCUUGGGCGUAAAGAGCGUGUAGGCGGCCAGGUAGGUCAGCUGUGAAAACUCGAGGCUCAACCUCGAGACGCCGGUUGAAACCAUCUGGCUAGAGUCCGGAAGAGGAGAGUGGAAUUCCUGGUGUAGCGGUGAAAUGCGCAGAUAUCAGGAAGAACACCCGUGGCUAAGGCGGCUCUCUAGUACGGUACUGACGCUGAGACGCGAAAGCGUGGGGAGCGAACAGG